rnacentral:rRNA from 1 species
GAGUUUGAUCAUGGCUCAGAUUGAACGCUGGCGGCAGGCCUAACACAUGCAAGUCGAACGGUAACAGGAAGCAGCUUGCUGCUUCGCUGACGAGUGGCGGACGGGUGAGUAAUGUCUGGGAAGCUGCCUGAUGGAGGGGGAUAACUACUGGAAACGGUAGCUAAUACCGCAUAAUGUCGCAAGACCAAAGAGGGGGACCUUCGGGCCUCUUGCCAUCGGAUGUGCCCAGAUGGGAUUAGCUUGUUGGUGGGGUAACGGCUCACCAAGGCGACGAUCCCUAGCUGGUCUGAGAGGAUGACCAGCCACACUGGAACUGAGACACGGUCCAGACUCCUACGGGAGGCAGCAGUGGGGAAUAUUGCACAAUGGGCGCAAGCCUGAUGCAGCCAUGCCGCGUGUAUGAAGAAGGCCUUCGGGUUGUAAAGUACUUUCAGCGGGGAGGAAGGGAGUAAAGUUAAUACCUUUGCUCAUUGACGUUACCCGCAGAAGAAGCACCGGCUAACUCCGUGCCAGCAGCCCGUAAUACGGAGGGUGCAAGCGUUAAUCGGAAUUACUGGGCGUAAAGCGCACGCAGGCGGUUUGUUAAGUCAGAUGUGAAAUCCCCGGGCUCAACCUGGGAACUGCAUCUGAUACUGGCAAGCUUGAGUCUCGUAGAGGGGGGUAGAAUUCCAGGUGUAGCGGUGAAAUGCGUAGAGAUCUGGAGGAAUACCGGUGGCGAAGGCGGCCCCCUGGACGAAGACUGACGCUCAGGUGCGAAAGCGUGGGGAGCAAACAGGAUUAGAUACCCUGGUAGUCCACGCCGUAAACGAUGUCGACUUGGAGGUUGUGCCCUUGAGGCGUGGCUUCCGGAGCUAACGCGUUAAGUCGACCGCCUGGGGAGUACGGCCGCAAGGUUAAAACUCAAAUGAAUUGACGGGGGCCCGCACAAGCGGUGGAGCAUGUGGUUUAAUUCGAUGCAACGCGAAGAACCUUACCUGGUCUUGACAUCCACGGAAGUUUUCAGAGAUGAGAAUGUGCCUUCGGGAACCGUGAGACAGGUGCUGCAUGGCUGUCGUCAGCUCGUGUUGUGAAAUGUUGGGUUAAGUCCCGCAACGAGCGCAACCCUUAUCCUUUGUUGCCAGCGGUCCGGCCGGGAACUCAAAGGAGACUGCCAGUGAUAAACUGGAGGAAGGUGGGGAUGACGUCAAGUCAUCAUGGCCCUUACGACCAGGGCUACACACGUGCUACAAUGGCGCAUACAAAGAGAAGCGACCUCGCGAGAGCAAGCGGACCUCAUAAAGUGCGUCGUAGUCCGGAUUGGAGUCUGCAACUCGACUCCAUGAAGUCGGAAUCGCUAGUAAUCGUGGAUCAGAAUGCCACGGUGAAUACGUUCCCGGGCCUUGUACACACCGCCCGUCACACCAUGGGAGUGGGUUGCAAAAGAAGUAGGUAGCUUAACCUUCGGGAGGGCGCUUACCACUUUGUGAUUCAUGACUGGGGUGAAGUCGGAACAAGGUA